GUGGUUAUAGCUCAGAUGGUAGAGCACUGGAUUGUGGUUCCGGUUGUCAUGGGUUCGAUUCCCAUUAAUCACCCCA
rnacentral:tRNA from 1 species